GCCCGGGUGGUGGAAUUGGUAGACACAAGGGACUUAAAAUCCCUCGGAAUUUUUUUUCCGUGCCGGUUCAAGUCCGGCCUCGGGCACCA
rnacentral:tRNA from 1 species